AUUGAACGCUGGCGGCAGGCUUAACACAUGCAAGUCGAGCGGAGAGAGGUAGCUUGCUACCGAUCUUAGCGGCGGACGGGUGAGUAAUGCUUAGGAAUCUGCCUAUUAGUGGGGGACAACAUUUCGAAAGGAAUGCUAAUACCGCAUACGUCCUACGGGAGAAAGCAGGGGAUCUUCGGACCUUGCGCUAAUAGAUGAGCCUAAGUCGGAUUAGAUAGUUGGUGGGGUAAAGGCCUACCAAGGAGACGAUCUGUAGCGGGUCUGAGAGGAUGAUCCGCCACACUGGGACUGAGACACGGCCCAGACUCCUACGGGAGGCAGCAGUGGGGAAUAUUGGACAAUGGGCGGAAGCCUGAUCCAGCCAUGCCGCGUGUGUGAAGAAGGCCUUAUGGUUGUAAAGCACUUUAAGCGAGGAGGAGGCUACUUUAGUUAAUACCUAGAGAUAGUGGACGUUACUCGCAGAAUAAGCACCGGCUAACUCUGUGCCAGCAGCCGCAGUAACAC
rnacentral:rRNA from 1 species